GGGCCCGCACAAGCGGUGGAGCAUGUGGUUUAAUUCGAUGCAACGCGAAGAACCUUACCUGGUCUUGACAUAUCUAGAAUCCUGCAGAGAUGCGGGAGUGCCUUCGGGAAUUAGAAUACAGGUGCUGCAUGGCUGUCGUCAGCUCGUGUCGUGAGAUGUUGGGUUAAGUCCCGCAACGAGCGCAACCCUUGUCCUUAGUUACCAGCGGGUUAAGCCGGGAACUCUAAGGAUACUGCCAGUGACAAACUGGAGGAAGGCGGGGACGACGUCAAGUCAUCAUGGCCCUUACGACCAGGGCUACACACGUGCUACAAUGGUAGGUACAGAGGGCAGCUACACAGCGAUGUGAUGCGAAUCUUUUAAAGCCUAUCGUAGUCCAGAUUGGAGUCUGCAACUCGACUCCAUGAAGUAGGAAUCGCUAGUAAUCG
rnacentral:rRNA from 1 species